UUUGAUCCUGGCUCAGAUUGAACGCUGGCGGCAUGCCUUACACAUGCAAGUCGAACGGCAGCACGGGAGCUUGCUCCUGGUGGCGAGUGGCGAACGGGUGAGUAAUAUAUCGGAACGUACCCUAGAGGGGGGGAUAACGCAGCGAAAGUUGCGCUAAUACCGCAUACGAUCUACGGAUGAAAGUGGGGGAUCGCAAGACCUCAUGCUCAUGGAGCGGCCGAUAUCUGAUUAGCUAGUUGGUGGGGUAAAGGCCUACCAAGGCAUCGAUCAGUAGCUGGUCUGAGAGGACGACCAGCCACACUGGAACUGAGACACGGUCCAGACUCCUACGGGAGGCAGCAGUGGGGAAUUUUGGACAAUGGGGGCAACCCUGAUCCAGCAAUGCCGCGUGAGUGAAGAAGGCCUUCGGGUUGUAAAGCUCUUUUGUCAGGGAAGAAACGGUGAGGGCUAAUAUCCUUUGCUAAUGACGGUACCUGAAGAAUAAGCACCGGCUAACUACGUGCCAGCAGCCGCGGUAAUACGUAGGGUGCAAGCGUUAAUCGGAAUUACUGGGCGUAAAGCGUGCGCAGGCGGUUAUGUAAGUCAGAUGUGAAAUCCCCGGGCUCCACCGGGGAAUGGCAUUAGAGACUGCAUGGCUAGAGGGGGUCAGAGGGGGAAAAAAUUCCCCGUGGAGCAGUGGAAAUGCGUAAGAGAUGUGGAAAAAAAACCGGAUGGCGGAAGGCCCCCCCCUGGGAUAACCCUGGCGCUCAAGCACGAAAGGCGUGGGGAGCAACCAGGAUUAGAUACCCUGGUAGUCCCCGCCCUAAACGAUGUCUUCUAGUUUGUCGGGACUUAAUGUUCUUGGUAACGCAGUUAACGGGGAAAGUAGACCGCCUGGGGAGUACGGUCGCAAGAUUAAAACUCAAAGGAAUUGACGGGGACCCGCACAAGCGGUGGAUGAUGUGGAUUAAUUCGAUGCAACGCGAAAAACCUUACCUACCCUUGACAUGUACGGAACCUCUGAGAGAUUAGAGGGUGCUCGAAAGAGAGCCGUAACACAGGUGCUGCAUGGCUGUCGUCAGCUCGUGUCGUGAGAUGUUGGGUUAAGUCCCGCAACGAGCGCAACCCUUGUCAUUAGUUGCUACGAAAGGGCACUCUAAUGAGACUGCCGGUGACAAACCGGAGGAAGGUGGGGAUGACGUCAAGUCCUCAUGGCCCUUAUGGGUAGGGCUUCACACGUCAUACAAUGGUACAUACAGAGGGCCGCCAACCCGCGAGGGGGAGCUAAUCCCAGAAAGUGUAUCGUAGUCCGGAUUGUAGUCUGCAACUCGACUACAUGAAGUUGGAAUCGCUAGUAAUCGCGGAUCAGCAUGUCGCGGUGAAUACGUUCCCGGGUCUUGCAAACACCGCCCGUCA
rnacentral:rRNA from 1 species